GGGGAGUUACUUCCUAUCGUUAUAAGCAUAUGCCAAAAGAAAAAAUACGCGAAUAUGAAAGAAAUUUUUAUUUAGGGUAAAGUUGUUAGUAAUACAUUCGUAAAUUUUUCGAACCCUAUAGCCGCGGAAGGUUUGCCCUCCGUCGGGGUCCUCCUGAGAUGGAGUUGAUAAUCCCAAUCGGAGGUCGAUCUUCAGGUUGC
rnacentral:lncRNA from 1 species